ACAGAAAACAAAACCUCAUACCUUUGAGACAGAGUAUUAUUGCGUACCCCAGCCCAGCUGCAAAACUCAUGAGCCUCUGCCUCAGUUCCCCAUGAUUAAUGAAAGUUUUAAGAAAGAAAACACAAUGUCCUUAGUUCCAAGCCUGUUGUGCGGUGUCAAUGUAAUUCACUGUCCUUUCUUUCUGUCAGUGAGUGAGCCCUGUAAGGGGACGUGCUGUGGGAGCUCUCCAUGGCUCCAGAACGCCACAGAAGACAGGAGAAGCUAGAAGAAACACAGCCAGGGGAACCUGAGUAUUAGCGGGGAAACUCCACCGAGCUCCUCACCCCAGAACCCUGGCUUUCCCGAGGGUGGAGUCCAUGCCUCUCCCUCCCAGUCAGGCUUCUGGGAAGUCAUCCAGCAACACUGCCAUUUGGUGGUUUGUUUGUUUGCUUCUAAAGACAUAAAAAUCCAAGCUUAUCAAACAAAGUCACACUUGGCCCUGCCAUCUUGAGAGGUAAAUUCCACCAUUAUCUAUGCACUUCAACCCCUGCGCAGAACACUUAGUUCCCAGGCGAGCUGGCAGCUGUCUCCAGGGUUGACCUUCACCAACUCACCCCUUCAGCCGAGGAGCCAGUCAGUCACGAGGCGGGCGUGCCAGUCACACAGACUAGGGAAAUGCCCAAAGGUCCAGCCCACAAGCUGGGAGGUUUGAAAAAACCUCUUUGAACUUCAGUUUCCUCGUUUCUAUAAAAGUGGCUUGAGGACAAUUGUCUCCUCACCAGCUGGCUUGUGACGAGGAGUCAUGAAAAGGUGAUUAAACAUUGACCCCAGUGCUGGCUUUGGGGAGGGCUCAACACGGAACAGCUGUGGUCUCGCUACUCACGAGUGGAAGGACGAGGCCCGGCAUGGGAGGGGCAAGACAGUGCCCUCUCUCUGAGAGCAUGCAGCCCCGUUAGAGUGGAAGCCCUGCAAGGCUAGCAUUCUUCUCCUCCUGAGGACUGUGUGAUACUCUACUCGUGGCUCCUGCCUCUCCUCACUCUGCAAAGCCCACAGGACCAUAGAACGAGAGGGAAAGAGACACGACGAGUUUCCGGAUGAGCGCUGGAUGCUUUGUGAGCUGUAAGAGUCAUGAGGUCACUCCAACCCUGCUUUCCGUCCUUCAGUCACCCAUUCGGUACCCAUCAGGAUAUGCUAGGUACCACUGUGCAUCCCAAAAGGGCAUCAUAUGAUGCAAGAUGCAGGCUUUCCUGGGUCCACAGCAACAUCAAAAAGAGCAAACCAGACAUGCAAAGAAAGCGAUUUUAACACGAGACAGAUGUGCAACUGAGUAACACGAUCAGGUGAUGCCAGCCACAUAAACAUGUUUUGAAAAUGUGUAUUUUAUUUCUUAUACAUGUACAUUUGUUUUCAUCAAAAAUAAAGAUCAAAUCAAAUUUCAAAGAGAUAUAAAACCCAAAGAAGAAUCGAUUUUAAGUUGUAUUAUUAGAAAUAAAGAAAAUAUGUUUGAGAUAAAAAUAUAAAAGGGGCUUACUUUAGAUUACGCUGUUAAAUGAUGAUCACUUUGGAUAGAGAGCAUUUGAAACAGAGGGAGACAGUAAGGGAAAACAGCUCAUGUGGAGACUGGGAAGGCUACUCAGGACAAAACAAGCUAUAUACCCAGGAUCUUCAAGUAGGAAGACCUUAGGAUCCGAGAGAGUCUCGGAGACAAAGUCUUGAGCGGAGUAUGGACAAAUGGGUCCUCCAGGUCACCAUAGGAUAUACAUAUCAGAUGAUAUGAGAAUUCACUAGACAAAGGCAUAAGUGAGCUGGGGAGGGCACCAUGUCAGCUUACUGGGAUGGCAAGUGCUGUAGGGAACACACUGGUGGGGAAAACUGAAUGUGGGUGUGUCAGCUAUGGGAUGACUGGGGUCUCUGUGGAGGAAACAGUUUAAGGCUAGAGCCUCUACAGAUCCAUUGGAGGGAAGUUCAAAGAGGUGCAGGAUGGACCUGGAAUCGCUGGCUUGUGCACCUGU
rnacentral:sRNA from 1 species